UACGUAGGGACCGAGCGUUGUCCGGAUUUAUUGGGCGUAAAGAGCGUGUAGGCGGUUUGGUAGGUCCGCUGUGAAAACUCGAGGCUCAACCUCGAGACGCCGGUGGAAACCAUCAGACUAGAGUCCGGAAGAGGAGAGUGGAAUUCCUGGUGUAGCGGUGAAAUGCGCAGAUAUCAGGAAGAACACCCGUGGCUAAGGCGGCUCUCUAGUACGGUACUGACGCUGAGACGCGAAAGCGUGGGGAGCGAACAGG
rnacentral:rRNA from 1 species